ensembl:lncRNA
CAAAAAGCAUGUCCUCCUUGGAAAGUAUGCAGUGCCUCAGGAAAAUGUUUCAAACUUAGUGAGCAUACAUUUAUGUUAAUCAUUUGGUCCUUAUUUUAUAACUUUUCAUAAUUCUAGUCAUAAAUAGGUAACUUCAAACUCUGUUGCCUCAACAAAAUAUAAACUAUCCUGAUUUUGCCUGCUAUCAAAAGGAUAAUGACCCAGACAUAAAAGGAAGCCUGUAUCCAGCCGCUGAAAAUGUCAGUAUCUUGAGUGAAUACUCUGUUUCGUGGGACGAGAAGUAAGAGCUGAAUCUUCUGAAAGAACGCUAAAGAUAAAGCUCUCGUGGUCAUUGCUUCACAAUAAAACUCAGUAAUAAAAUCCACACUAAGUGUGCGUCCUGCUUUGACAGCUGAAAUGAAGGAGGCAUGUGGGUUAAAUUCAAAUGCAUUCUGGAGGACUGUACUGUGAAGAGCAGUUGCUGUGAUGACUUGAUUAUUUAUGAAAGUCAGAGUUACCAGUGGGAGAGAUAUAUUUGCUGUUGCCACUGAGAUUAUCACGGACUUUAAGAAAAUAGCUAUCUAUGGGGAACAUUAAUAGCAAGCAGUUGGACCCAAGAAGUUACAAUCCUGCUGUUGCCACUUGCCAUUCUGGACUCUCCCCCUGGAACUACAAACCAAAAUCAACUCUUUCUCCUAAAAUGAAAAUCUGUGGAUUCCUUCCAGACUAAUAUGGUUUGAUCAAGCAAGACCCCCUGAAGCUGAGAUGGUACAACCGAACAGACUACAAAAACAAGGACUUGGUCAGAUUUCUGUGUUUUAUUAUGAUUCCAAUGGUAUGAACAUCAUCCCCAAUCAGCAGGAAGCAGUUUAGAAAGAAUGACGCCCAUUUUCCCAAAUAUUGUUUAUAAAUUUUGUUUUCAUUUAAGUGGGGUUGGUUAUAAAUGAUAACGAGCAUAGUCAAUCUCUUUUUAAAGAAAGAAAAGGGGGAAUGGUAUAUAGGAAUGAAUGCUUUACAUUGGUAUGGAUUUUCAUUUAUUGAUACAACUUUAAGGUCAAUUUUGUGAUAUGUAUAUGUCUCCUCUUGUUUAGGUAUUGUGUUUAUACAGAUCUUUUACCUAUAAUAGUCAGAACUUAUAAUUAGGUUAGUUAAGUUUUCUAGAUUUACAGAGAUGUAUUUGAGAUGGUUAGGUAUUCUUCAAACCUUUCAAAGACCUACACAAAUAUGGCAUUUAAAUGGUUUAGGGUUUUUCUUGGCAAUGAGACACAACUGUUCCUAGCACACCAAUUAUGUCAGAAAGGAAGAUGGGCAUCAAAGAAACUCGUUAUGGAGUUUUCUUUCAACAUGGCAAGAUUAGCCAUUUGGGCAAGAAACUGCUCUUGCCUGGACUGUUUGUUGCUGUAUAAACUGGACAUGCAGGACCCACAAGAAAAUAACUGCUGAACUUACAAGGCAAGACAGUACUAAAGAGUUCCUGUUGAAAUGGAGAAGUGUGCUAGACACACUAUGUCCUAUAGGCUAAAGAUGGAUGCCCCAAUGUUACAGAGGAACUUUGGAUGACUGUCCAGCUAGCAAAAUGUCCUGUCAAUUCUAGAGUUUAUAUAUUUUCCUUCUAUGAUCUUUGAUAGAGUUGAAGACAGAUAGUUAUGGUUAUAGUUUUCUUCAGUUAUUAUAAAAGAUAAGUUAUCCUUUUUAUUUAGACAUUAAAAAAGAGAUGAUAGGGAAUGUACUUCUUUGUAUGUUUAUCUUAUUGAUUGUUGAAUAAAAUACUGUUUGGCCAAUGGCAGCAAGUUAGGCAGGACUAGGAGUCAAAGAGGAUUCUGGGAAAUGUAGUAGAGAAGUGGUGUUCCAGGCAGGAAGUGACAUAGCAAGGAGACUCAUAUUUAGCAAGGAAAACAGGAAGUGUCCCCUUUUCCCCUCUGCUCUUCCUCCAGCAGAGCAAUGUGAACCACCGGCAAGGAGGGACGCCAAUAAGGCAUCUGAUAAGAUAAGUCUUAUAAAAUAUGUAGAUGUAUGAUAAUUGAGGUUGAACUAACAGAUGAGAAUCCUAGUCAUUGGCCAAGCAGCAUUGUACCUAAU